rnacentral:rRNA from 1 species
UACGAACUGUGCGAACGUUAUUCGGAAUCACUGGGCUUAAAGGGUGCGUAGGCGGCUGCCUAAGUCAGGUGUGAAAUCUCUCGGCUCAACCGGGAAACUGCGCUUGAUACUGGGCGGCUCGAGUGAGGUAGGGGUGUGUGGAACUUCCGGUGGAGCGGUGAAAUGUGUAGAUAUCGGAAGGAACGCCAGCAGCGAAAGCGGCACACUGGGCCUUUUCUGACGCUGAGGCGCGAAAGCUAGGGGAGCAAACAGG